GAUGAAGAACGUAGCGAAACGCGAUAAGUAAUGUGAAUUGCAGAAUCCAGUGAAUCAUCGAAUCUUUGAACGCACAUUGCGCCCGCCAGCAUUCUGGCGGGCAUGCCUGUUCGAGCGUCAUUUCAACCCUCGACCUCCCCUUGGGGAGGUCGGCGUUGGGGACCGGCAGCACACCGCCGGCCCUGAAAUGGAGUGGCGGCCCGUCCGCGGCGACCUCUGCGCAGUAAUACAGCUCGCACCGGGACCCCGACGCGGCCACGCCGUAAAACACCCAACUUCUGAACGUUGACCUCGAAUCAGGUAGGACUACCCGCUGAACUUAAGCAUAUCAAUAAGCGGA
rnacentral:misc_RNA from 1 species